rnacentral:rRNA from 1 species
UACGGAGGGUGCAAGCGUUAUCCGGAUUUACUGGGCUUAAAGGGCGCGUAGGCGGAUUGGUGAGUCAGUGGUGAAAUACUUUCGCUUAACGAAGGAACUGCCAUUGAUACUACCAGUCUUGAAUACAGUGGAGGUGGGCGGAAUGCGUCAUGUAGCGGUGAAAUGCUUAGAUAUGACGCAGAACACCAAUUGCGAAGGCAGCUUGCUGGACUGUUAUUGACACUGAGGCACGAAAGCGUGGGGAGCAAACAGG